rnacentral:tRNA from 1 species
GCCGGUGUAGCUCAGAGGUAGAGCGUUUCCUUGGUAAGGAAGAGGUCGGCAGUUCAAUUCUGCUCACUGGCU